GAUGAACGCUGGCGGCGUGCCUAAUACAUGCAAGUCGAGCGAACGGACGAGAAGCUUGCUUCUCUGAUGUUAGCGGCGGACGGGUGAGUAACACGUGGAUAACCUACCUAUAAGACUGGGAUAACUUCGGGAAACCGGAGCUAAUACCGGAUGAUAUUUUGAACCGCAUGGUUCAAAAGUGAAAGACGGUCUUGCUGUCACUUAUAGAUGGAUCCGCGCUGCAUUAGCUAGUUGGUAAGGUAACGGCUUACCAAGGCAACGAUGCAUAGCCGACCUGAGAGGGUGAUCGGCCACACUGGAACUGAGACACGGUCCAGACUCCUACGGGAGGCAGCAGUAGGGAAUCUUCCGCAAUGGGCGAAAGCCUGACGGAGCAACGCCGCGUGAGUGAUGAAGGUCUUCGGAUCGUANAACUCUGUUAUUAGGGAAGAACAUAUGUGUAAGUAACUGUGCACAUCUUGACGGUACCUAAUCAGAAAGCCACGGCUAACUACGUGCCAGCAGCCGCGGUAAUACGUAGGUGGCAAGCGUUAUCCGGAAUUAUUGGGCGUAAAGCGCGCGUAGGCGGUUUUUUAAGUCUGAUGUGAAAGCCCACGGCUCAACCGUGGAGGGUCAUUGGAAACUGGAAAACUUGAGUGCAGAAGAGGAAAGUGGAAUUCCAUGUGUAGCGGUGAAAUGCGCAGAGAUAUGGAGGAACACCAGUGGCGAAGGCGACUUUCUGGUCUGUAACUGACGCUGAUGUGCGAAAGCGUGGGGAUCAAACAGGAUUAGAUACCCUGGUAGUCCACGCCGUAAACGAUGAGUGCUAAGUGUUAGGGGGUUUCCGCCCCUUAGUGCUGCAGCUAACGCAUUAAGCACUCCGCCUGGGGAGUACGACCGCAAGGUUGAAACUCAAAGGAAUUGACGGGGACCCGCACAAGCGGUGGAGCAUGUGGUUUAAUUCGAAGCAACGCGAAGAACCUUACCAAAUCUUGACAUCCUUUGACAACUCUAGAGAUAGAGCCUUCCCCUUCGGGGGACAAAGUGACAGGUGGUGCAUGGUUGUCGUCAGCUCGUGUCGUGAGAUGUUGGGUUAAGUCCCGCAACGAGCGCAACCCUUAAGCUUAGUUGCUAUCAUUAAGUUGGGCACUCUAAGUUGACUGCCGGUGACAAACCGGAGGAAGGUGGGGAUGACGUCAAAUCAUCAUGCCCCUUAUGAUUUGGGCUACACACGUGCUACAAUGGACAAUACAAAGGGCAGCGAAACCGCGAGGUCAAGCAAAUCCCAUAAAGUUGUUCUCAGUUCGGAUUGUAGUCUGCAACUCGACUACAUGAAGCUGGAAUCGCUAGUAAUCGUAGAUCAGCAUGCUACGGUGAAUACGUUCCCGGGUCU
rnacentral:rRNA from 1 species